rnacentral:rRNA from 1 species
GGGCCAGACUCCUACGGGAGGCAGCAGUGGGGAAUAUUGCACAAUGGGGGGAACCCUGAUGCAGCGACGCCGCGUGAGUGAAGAAGUAUUUCGGUAUGUAAAGCUCUAUCAGCAGGGAAGAAGAUGACGGUACCUGACUAAGAAGCCCCGGCUAACUACGUGCCAGCAGCCGCGGUAAUACGUAGGGGGCAAGCGUUAUCCGGAUUUACUGGGUGUAAAGGGAGCGUAGACGGCAGGGCAAGUCUGGAGUGAAAGCCCGGGGCCCAACCCCGGGACUGCUUUGGAAACUGCCAUGCUGGAGUGCUGGAGAGGUAAGCGGAAUUCCUAGUGUAGCGGUGAAAUGCGUAGAUAUUAGGAGGAACACCAGUGGCGAAGGCGGCUUACUGGACUGUAACUGACGUUGAGGCUCGAAAGCGUGGGGAGCAAACAGGAUUAGAUACCCUAGUA